CGUGCUCCAGUGGCAACGGGCACUCUCUUAGCUGGGAAUCAUUUCAGUUGGCUUUCAGUUGUUUAAUCGUUUGGUUGUGUCGCCAGCCGUCGCCACGACAACGACGCUUCAGGUUUCCACGAUUGUGUUGCCAAUUAAAGAAGACAAUGAAACCCGCCCGAACAGCUUGAAUUGGAUAUUUUGAGCUUUAUUUUGGAUGUGGUUGCAAGCGAAUCAAAAGUGCAACGUUGUGUGACCGAAGUACGAAAAGCAAAUUGAAAGCGAAAACAAAUAUAAGUCAAAAUGGCUCAGGUUGUGGCUGGGCAUGAAACUGAGCAACCCGUUAAGAAUGCAUGGCAGAUGAAAGCCAUGGAUGCCAAUCGGUAUGCGACAAAGAAGACGAUCGCCCAGGGCAUGCUGGAUAUAGCACUGCUAACUGCCAAUGCCUCCCAGUUGAAGUACAUCCUGCAGGUGGGGGAACAGCAUCAGUUUUACAAGCUGAUGCUGAUACUGAUCAGUCUGUCGAUCGUGAUGCAGCUUUUGGUUGGAAUUCUGUUUGUGGCCAUCGGCGGUCUCAACAUUAACCGGCAGAAAGAUCAGACGGCGGCGAUCAUCUUGAACGAUAUCAUCUUGGUGGUGAUAUUCGUGAUAUCCGUUCUGAAUGUAAUCAUUUCUGGGUUUGGCAUUGAGUACUCGUCACAGCCGCUCAGACUCCUCGAUCCGCAUGCAAAGACACCCUAGAACUAAGAAAUAUCCAACGAUUUACAUUCCUGUAACAUUAUCAUAAGGCUAACUAACCAUGUACUCUGUGGCAGCUGGGAUUUUGCUAGUCAUUCAAUCGCUUAUCAGCAUUCACAAUGCAAAGGAUCGUUCCAUUGGGUACACCAU